rnacentral:rRNA from 1 species
AAAGGGAAACGGUUGAAGCCAGUCGUACCUAUGGGUAAUCAGCCUUUUGGGUGUGAUUUUGUGGAGCGUGAGGAGUUAAACGCCUUCAUGCCUGCAUAUUCGUGCACUUUGGGUGUACUUGCCCGUGUGUAAGUUAACAUCAAUUUUGGUGGUCAUAAAAUGGCUGGAGGAAUGUAGCUUCGAUCUUGUAUUGAAGUGUUAUAGCCUUCGGUAGAUGUGACGAUCGGGAUUGAGGAUUGCAACGGAUACCCUUCGGGGCUACCUGUCUGAUCUCUGAUUGUUGCUCUGGUGCCGAAAGCUUGCUUACGGUUAUUAAAGUCGAUGGUCAAUAGGUUAGAAUGGGUUAAAUUCGCUAAGGAUGUUGACGUAA